AUUGAACGCUGGCGGCAGGCUUAACACAUGCAAGUCGAGCGAGUGGCGGACGGGUGAGUAAUGUCUGGGAAACUGCCUGAUGGAGGGGGAUAACUACUGGAAACGGUAGCUAAUACCGCAUACCAUCAGAUGUGCCCAGAUGGGAUUAGCUAGUGGGUGGGGUAAUGGCUCACCUAGGCGACGAUCCCUAGCUGGUCUGAGAGGAUGACCAGCCACACUGGGACUGAGGCACGGUCCAGGAUCCUACGGGAGGCAGCAGUGGGGAAUAUUGGACAAUGGGGGCAAGCCUGAUGGAGCCAUGCCGGGGGUGUGAAGAAGGCCUUCGGGGUUGAAAGCACUUUCAGCGGGGGGGCGUUACUCGCCGAAGAAGCACCGGCCAACUCCGUGGCAACAGCCGCGGUAAUAC
rnacentral:rRNA from 1 species